rnacentral:rRNA from 1 species
GUGGGGAAUAUUGGACAAUGGGCGAAAGCCUGAUCCAGCCAUGCCGCGUGAGUGAUGAAGGCCCUAGGGUUGUAAAGCUCUUUCACCGGGGAAGAUAAUGACGGUACCAGGAGAAGAAGCCCCGGCUAACUUCGUGCCAGCAGCCGCGGUAAUACGAAGGGGGCUAGCGUUGUUCGGAAUUACUGGGCGUAAAGCGCACGUAGGCGGAUCAGUCAGUUAGGGGUGAAAUCCCAGGGCUCAACCCUGGAACUGCCUUUAAUACUGCUGAUCUAGAGUUCGAGAGAGGUGAGUGGAAUUCCGAGUGUAGAGGUGAAAUUCGUAGAUAUUCGGAGGAACACCAGUGGCGAAGGCGGCUCACUGGCUCGAUACUGACGCUGAGGUGCGAAAGCGUGGGGAGCAAACAGGAUUAGAAACCCCAGUAGACC